rnacentral:rRNA from 1 species
AAACCGGAGGAAGGUGGGGAUGACGUCAAGUCAUCAUGGCCCUUACGGCCAGGGCUACACACGUGCUACAAUGGUCGGUACAAAGGGUUGCCAAGCCGCGAGGUGGAGCUAAUCCCAUAAAACCGAUCGUAGUCCGGAUCGCAGUCUGCAACUCGACUGCGUGAAGUCGGAAUCGCUAGUAAUCGUGAAUCAGAAUGUCACGGUGAAUACGUUCCCGGGCCUUGUACACACCGCCCGUCACACCAUGGGAGUGGGUUGC